rnacentral:snRNA from 1 species
GGAUGUGAGGGCUUCAGGAUCUGGCUGCGACAUCUGUCACCCCAUUGAUCGCCAGGGUUGAUUCGGCUGAUCUGGCUGGCUAGGCGGGUGACCCCUUCCUCCCUCACCGCUCCAUGUGCGUCCCUCCCGAAGCUGCGCGCUCGGUCGAGGAGGACAACCUUCCCCGAUAGAGGAGGACCGUUCUUGGGUCAAGGGUAUACGAGUAGCUGCGCUCCGUGCUAGAACCUCCGAACAAGCUCUCAUUAGGAACAUCAUGAGCUACGUAGACGCUUUUAAUCAGGAAAGAAUUGAGUAA